rnacentral:RNase_P_RNA from 1 species
CAAAUGGGAUAUAACCGCGUUGUUAUAUCUUGAUGAUAAGACAUAAUGAUGAGCGAAAGUCCGGGCUCCUUCGGAAAAAAUGCCGGGUAAUAACCGGGCCAGACAGAUAACUGUAUAAUUUCUUACAUAGUUCUAUCUGGACAGACAGUGCAACAGAAAUUGUACCGCCCGAAAGGGUAAGGGUGAAAAGGCAGUGUAAGAGACUACCGCAUAACUGGUAACAGUUGUGGCUUGUAAACCUCAUUUGGAGCAAGAUUAAGCAGCAGUUGUGGAUUUCCGACCAAUACUGCGGGUAAAUCGCUAAAGUUAAAUGGCAACAUUUAACUCGGAUAGAUGGUUAUUGAUGGAAACAUCAGACAGAACCCGGCUUAUUGUCCCAUUUGUUUU